UACGUAGGGGGCGAGCGUUGUCCGGAUUUAUUGGGCGUAAAGAGCUCGUAGGCGGUUCGAUAAGUCGGACGUGAAAUCUCCACGCUCAACGUGGAGGGGCCGUUCGAUACUGUCGUGACUCGAGUCCGGUAGGGGAGUGUGGAAUUCCCGGUGUAGCGGUGAAAUGCGCAGAGAUCGGGAGGAACACCCGUAGCGAAGGCGGCACUCUGGGCCGGUACUGACGCUGAGGCGCGAAAGCGUGGGGAGCAAACGGG
rnacentral:rRNA from 1 species